rnacentral:rRNA from 1 species
CCUACGGGGGGCAGCAGUGGGGAAUAUUGCACAAUGGGCGCAAGCCUGAUGCAGCCAUGCCGCGUGUGUGAAGAAGGCCUUCGGGUUGUAAAGCACUUUCAGCGGGGAGGAAGACGGUGAGGUUAAUAACCUCAUCGAUUGACGUUACCCGCAGAAGAAGCACCGGCUAACUCCGUGCCAGCAGCCGCGGUAAUACGGAGGGUGCAAGCGUUAAUCGGAAUUACUGGGCGUAAAGCGCACGCAGGCGGUCUGUCAAGUCGGAUGUGAAAUCCCCGGGCUCAACCUGGGAACUGCGUUCGAAACUGGCAGGCUAGAGUCUUGUAGAGGGGGGUAGAAUUCCAGGUGUAGCGGUGAAAUGCGUAGAGAUCUGGAGGAAUACCGGUGGCGAAGGCGGCCCCCUGGACAAAGACUGACGCUCAGGUGCGAAAGCGUGGGGAGCAAACAGGAUUAGAUACCCUUGUAGUC